rnacentral:rRNA from 1 species
UGCGUAGGGGGCGAGCGUUGUCCGGAGUUACUGGGCGUAAAGGGCGCGCAGGCGGUCUGGUAAGUUUGGAGUGACAGUGCUCGGCUUAACUGAGCAAGGCCUUCGAAAACUGCUAGACUUGAGCACUCAAGAGGGACAUAGAAUUCCGGGUGGAGUGGUGAAAUGCGUAGAUAUCCGGAGGAAUACCAAAGGCGAAGGCAGUGUCCUGGGGAGUGUCUGACGCUCAGGCGCGAAAGCUAGGGGAGCGAACAGG